GCGUUCGGGGUGUAGUGGUCAGCACACUCGACGUGUAACUGAGAGAUCCGCGAUUCGAUUCCCGGCGAGGGCA
rnacentral:tRNA from 1 species